rnacentral:misc_RNA from 1 species
UUUUUUUGGCUUUUUGGCAUCUAAAAGGUCAUUAUUUUGACUGGAAUCACGUUUUGUUUAUCACGUUUUUGUUUAGUAUGAAGUACUGGAAAUAGGUGUUGUUUAGGAGGAAUGAUGUUUAUACAUGAAGGGUUAAACCCGUUAACUGAGUUAGUAAUUUGGAUUAGUUAUGCAGUGAUGAUUAUCAUUGCGGUAAUGGCCGUUAGUA